UAAGCGGAGGAAAAGAAACUAACAAGGAUUCCCCUAGUAACGGCGAGUGAACAGGGAAGAGCUCAAAUUUGAAAUCUGGCGUGCUCAGUGCGUCCGAGUUGUAAUCUAUAGAGUCGUUUUCCGUGCCGGACCGUGUCCAAGUUCCUUGGAACAGGAUAUCAAAGAGGGUGACAAUCCCGUACUUGACACGACCACCGGUGCUCUGUGAUACGUCUUCUACGAGUCGAGUUGUUUGGGAAUGCAGCUCAAAAUGGGUGGUGAGUUCCAUCUAAAGCUAAAUAUUGGCGAGAGACCGAUAGCGAACAAGUACCGUGAGGGAAAGAUGAAAAGCACUUUGGAAAGAGAGUUAAACAGUACGUGAAAUUGUUGAAAGGGAAACGAUUGAAGUCAGUCGUGUCCGAGAGGCUCAGCCGGUUCUGCCGGUGUAUUCCUCUCGGAUGGGUCAACAUCAGUUUUGUCCGGUGGAUAAGGGCGGCAGGAAUGUAUCACCCCAGGGUGUGUUAUAGCCUGCCGUCGCAUACAUCGGGUGAGACUGAGGAAUGCAGCUCGCCUUUAUUGGCCGGGGUUCGCCCACGUCCGAGCUUAGGAUGUUGACGUAAUGGCUUUAACCGA
rnacentral:rRNA from 1 species